rnacentral:lncRNA from 1 species
UCCUCCUCAGCUGCAGGCAUCCCCGCAGCUCAACUCGUUGUUGCGGCCACAACCCACAGGGGUGUCUGUCUACGGCGGCUUGUCUCCUGGGCCGGUAAACAGCGACAGAUGUGUAGCAGGGUCCGAGGAGCAUCUGCGUAAGGGUCCGAGGAGCAUCUGCGUAAGGGAGCAGUGCCGUUUCCCUCGGUGUCCGUGCAGGUGAUGUGGGCGUGGAUCUCGCCUCCUGCAGCCAGCAUGGAUCCAGCUUGAGUAUGAGGAUGCUGGCGAUGUUGUCUUCCCCAAGCGCGCGAGCCAUCCGCAUCGUCGUUGUUCCCACUCGAGGCAGCCCAACACAUCAUCACCAUCCUCCACAGCGUCAGUAUUCUUCAACCUACAGGACCCUCUUUUUUUCUUUUCCUGUCUUAUCAUAUUUUUUUGCUUAACCUUUUUCUCAGUGACAGUGUGUAUGAUUGUAUACCAAUAUAAUUUAAUUGAGGUACUAUCUGUUAGUGAAUAAUCUUAAUUUUCUUCUGUACCCUCCAAUUUUUUUGGGCAUUGCGACUGGCAUAGGUAGUGUUAGGCUGCCGUACCCCCAUUCAUAUUCAACAAAAUUUAGUAGUAUAAUCACUGUAUUGAGUUGGUAUAGUUUAGUAGUAUUUCCCAAAGACAAAUUAAUUUUUAAUAAUUGAAUAGUCAAAUAGGUCUAGCCGAAUUGUACAUAUACAAAAUAUAAUGAUAGAGGAAUGCCAUGACUAUUGGGUUGUACUCCAUCAUAUGUCGAUAUAGAAUGUCGAUGCUUGGUAUUUAUUAACUAUUUUCAUCAUAUGGAUCUUGAUGCACAUUUCCAGUACUCCUCUCUCAAAUCUUGACUUGCGUCUUUUUUACUUGUCUUCUUGUGUCUCCCUUCUUCCUACGCAAUAUCAUAAAUUUAACUAUUAUUUAUGAAUUCCGUAUCUUCAAAUGUAACAGUGAUCCAUAAUACUGAAAAUCGUUGAAUAAUGUAGAUGAAAGUAUUUUAUUGUUCACUAAAAUUUCCAAGCACAUAACAUACAUGCACCAGUAUGCUAGUUUUGCUAGUAAAUUAAUUGGCUUAAGAGGUGCAUAUAAACUUGCAAGCAGAGAACAUACAUGCACAUGUAUGCUAGAUUUGCUACUAAAUUAAUUGGUAUCAGAGGUGCAUCUGAGACAUAGUACUACCAGACUGCCAGUGCGUCCCCAAUUGAUAAAGAAUACAAAGUCAGUGGUUAAAUGAUAAUAACUCACCAUUAGUAUCUUAGAUGGUUGACUCGUGAAUCAUCAUUUGAAUCACUGAUACAUGAUUUUCUUCCUCUUAAAACUGUGAGAUAGAAUACCAUAAUUUAGAACAUCAAAUAGAACACUUGGGUUUAUCUUGAAAACAAUAUAUUAUGUUGAAAGUAUACACUUUUCACCUCAUUGUUGAAUUUCUUUUAUUUGCUAACUCUUUUGAAUUUCUUGUUGCUAGGACUUUUGAUAUGUGUACAGUUUUCUUCAGUCUUUAUCUGAAUCAUCUUCUACUGUGAUUACAUCCAAAUCUAUAGAUUGAAUGUUGGGUACUUCCUUUUCAUAUUGAUUUGAACAGAAUACCUCCUCAUUGUGUAGUUUGUUUUUUGCACCAACUUUUUUUUAUUUCAAGAAGCUUUUCCUUUCAAAUCUUGUUUACAUCGUUUUUUGUCUCUCUUUGUGUGUUCUCUGAAAUAAGUUUUUGACUCCACCUGCAUGUUUACUUCUUCUUAUUAUCCUCAAUAGAAGUUUCUUGUUAGAUGAUGUAGAGUUUUUCUUUUCAAGCACAUUUUUCUUCUCACCUGUAGUUGCAAUCUUGUAGGAACGAUUACCCGAUAAAAAGAAAUCAUUUUUACAUUAUUAAAAAACAUGUUUUUAAUAUCAUUUAACAACAGGUUGUAAAUAGUUAAUGCAUAUACAGGGGAGAAAAUGUUUUGGGUGUAUUGCCUCACAUGAAGUUCAAUUUCUUUAACAGCUUAUUUGCUAUUUCUAGAUCAAUCUUUCUCAAAAAAAUUUAUAGAUAUUUUGCUUGACCGAGAAGUUUUUUGUUAGAUGAUGUAGAUCCUUUCUUUCCAAACAUAUUCUUCCUGUCACUUUCUCCUGCACUCUUGGAGUGGCUCUUACACUGUUAAAAGGAAAUCUUGUUGGUGAUACUUUUAAGAAACUAUUCUGUACUUAUGAUAAUAAAACCAUUACUUAGUUGCAAUCCUCAUUAUCUCACUAUAUGUGCACAUUGUACUUACUGGGGGUGGUUUGUUUGCUCGACAGAGCCGAUAAAAAUCUAGAGGUGUCAACAGAGGAUAUUGGGGCGCUUGCAACUAUUGGAGGAAGAUGAUGUCCAAGCGUCGAUUGCUGGAGGAAGACGAUGUUGAAGGUGGGUUCUGAUGGGUAGCACGUGCAAAACCUGAUUUGAUGCUAGCUUGCACGGUUGGUUUUCUCGCCCUGGCACCAUUGCUAAGCUAAUUACCAAAGCUCAUAAAACACAACCUUGCCUUCUCGCUUUCUCACAUUUCCGCAAUUGCUCAAGAUAGCAACCACCGUUGGUAGUCGUUCUGCUGAUUUUGUAUGUACUGCUAUGAAAGAUGCAAGAUCAGUUACUUAAUAGUUACCUUUUUGGAUUGCAUAUUUGAUCCACCUUGUGAGUUAGCAUGUCAAAACUCUUUAGAUGAGCACUGCCUUGAGUAUCGAAGUACUAUUGAUCCAUUGUUCAAUGAUAUAUAACAAAUUCAUCAAUGCCAUAUGAUGAAGCUAUGUACCUAGGGUAGGGUCAUGGGCCUGUCCAAGAUACCCUCCCCAAGGACAUCACCCUAAAACCAGAAGCAUUCGAAGAAGAAUCAUCAUCCACUCGACCAUGAAGCGUUCCACUCGGAAGACUUGAAGUCACUCGACCAUGGAGACUGUCACUCGACCGCCAGAAGGUCUAAAGCCACCCCAUACUGCAACGGUCGGUCAUUACAUCGUAGCUUUAAUGGUCAUUAUGUCACUUUAUUACUAGCGUUACCAGUAACGCCCUGUCUUAAUGUACCUUAAACCAUGUGUAAUUGAGGGCCGGAGGGGUCUGGCGAACUCUAUAUAAGCCACCCCCUCCUCAGUGACAAGGGUUCGCACCCCCUGUAACACACACGCAUAUAAUCCAGUCGACCGCCUCCGGGCACCGAGACAUAGGGCUGUUACUUCCUCCGAGAAGGGCCUGAACUCGUAAAACUCGUGCGUACAACUUCUCCAUAGCUAAGAUCUUGCCUCUACAUACCUACCCCCCAUUCUACUGUCAGACUUAGAACCAUGACAGUUGGCGCCCACCGUGGGGCAGGUGUCUUAGCGACUUAUUGGAGAAGUUGCAAUUUUUCCGAUCCCCAUCAGCAUGGUUUUAGGCAGAGGAUUGGCCGAGGGCCGCGAGAUCCGUCUCGGCGCGCUCGUGUUCGUCGCCGAUGACUCCACUUGGCUCCAAGAGGCUCCACUUGACGUCGAGGCGCUCCCCGUCCGUGGGGCAACGCACUUUUGCGCAUGCGUCUGCGGCGUCCUCCUGCGGCAGCCGUUGACCCAGUAUCGGUUGGCUCCUGUGGCGUCUUCACUUCCUGCUACCCGUCGGCGUAAGCGUUCCGGUCGGUCAAGUCUCCAGCGGUGGGUGAGGCACGCGGUGACUCGCCAGCCGGCCACCCCCCAAGUCGCGGCAAUCGAGCCCGACGAAACUCUCUACGACUGGCUCCGUUGAGACUGCAUCCGAGUGCGACAACAGUGGCCCCGCGGCAGAAGUCCUGAUGGUCAACGGACCGUGCAGUCCCCCUGGCUUUCCCCGCGAUGACGGUGGUGAUGGCGGAGGCGAUCCGUCGCGCGUCCACGAGGAGUACCGCCCCGAGCCCCUCUCUUCGCAGCAGAGGGAAGAGCUUCGCCGCCGUAACAUGGAUGCACUUCACACUCCUAUCAUUGGAGAAACCCCCGAGGCCCAGGCCUUGGAAGAGGCGCGCUUGGCCAACUUGGCUGAGCGCACUCGACUGGAGAACCUCUAGCACGCACUCGAUGAGCGUGCUCAACAGCGGGUUCCUGAGUCCAGUCGACGACAACUUUUUCCGCCUCCAACCCAGGUAUAUCGAACUCCGAUCCAGAAUCUCACAGCUGCGGCCCGAAUAGCAAAGUCGAUUCAGCCUUCCCAGUCGGAAGCUGGUAGGGGUUUGAUGCAGAUCCGGGCUUUGCUCAGGGCGGCGGGGGAGCAGAACACAGUAGUGUCACAAUCUCGGAAUAGGAUUCAUAGUAGAUCUGUAAUGGCAGACACAGUUCAGUCGGCUCACAGCCCAAGAUCGCCUCCAAGACGUGAGGGACGUGGAGAUCGACAGGAUCAGUACAGAAACCGUGAGCAGUAUGAUCGUCGUCGAGCGCCCACACCUCCCCCAAGGAGUGGGUCAUACGCCUCGGCAACACGAUGACAGACGCCCUCGCAGUGGUGGGCGAAGGAUUCCAGUCGACCCCCGGGAGCCGGGCUUUGACGCGAGAUCCAUUCUCAUUCAAGGUCUGGUUGACAGGAACAGGGCACACGGAGAUGGCCACGAUAGAUAUUACUCGACUGGCAACAGAGUGCAUGUUUAAGGUCCCGAGUGUUUCAGCAGAGCCAUCAGAGCAGCAGUGAUUCCUCCCAACUUCAGGUUGGCGACUGGAGUCAGCAAAUUCACUGGUGAGUCCAAGCCUGACACUUGGCAUGAGGACUACCGAGUAGCUGUGCAAAUUGGUGGUGGCAAUGAUGAAGUGGCCAUGAAGCACCUUCCUCUGAUGUUGGAGGGCUCGGCCAGAGCGUGGUUGAAUCAGUUAGCACCUGGCAGUAUUUAUAGCUGGGAAGAGCUUGCCCGAGUGUUUGUCAGAACAUUUGAAGGUACAUGCAAACGGCCAGCAGGGCUAACAGAGCUACAAUCUUGUGUGCAGAAGCCGAAUGAAACUUUGAGGAAUUAUAUCCAGAGAUGGAUCACGUUGCACCACACGGUGGAGAAUGUGUUAGAUCACCAAGCAGUUUGUGCCUUCAAGGAAGGUGUCAAGUAUCGAGAAUUGAAUCUGAAGUUCAGUCGGGCCGGAGAUAUGUCUCUGAGUCGAAUGAUGGAAAUUGCCACCAAGUAUGCUAAUGGUGAAGAGGAGGAUCGGCUCCGGAGUGGCAAGCACAAAACAGUCGCCCACGAAACCGGAGGAGGGAACUCCAGUCGGAAGCAGAAGCGCAAAGCCGAGCCAGCUGCUCCCGUUGAAGCCUUAGCCAUGACUCAAGGAAAGUUCAAGGUGGAGCCCAAAGGGCCAUGGAACCCCAAGAAAGUAAAAGAUCAAGAUGGAAAUGAUGUGUUGGAUUUACCAUGCCACAUUCACACCAAAAAAGAUGAGGAGGGUAAUCUCAUUUAUCCGAAACGUACCACUCGACAGUGUCAGCUCCUAAUCCAGCAGUUCCGAGAGAAACAGCCCAAAGAGAAGGAGAAAGAAUCAGAAAAAGUUGAGGAUAAGGAAGAGAAGGAUGAUGCUUACCCCCACGUCAAUUCCACUCUGAUGAUUUUUGCUAAUGUUAAGAGCAAAAGUCGACUGAAAGUCAUCAACAGAGAAGUGAACAUGGUCGCUCCAGCGACGCCCAGUUAUUUGAAGUGGUCUCAGACUGCCAUUACAUUCGACCAGUCUGAUCACCCAGCACACAUAGCCACCCCUGGGAGGCAAGCGUUGGUGGUCGACCCAAUCGUCGAAGGCACUCGGUUGACUAAGGUUCUGAUGGAUGGUGGCAGUGGCCUGAAUAUACUGUAUGCGGAGACCUUGAAAGGAAUGGGCAUUCCGAUGUCCAGACUUAGUGAAAGCAAUAUGAGUUUCCAUGGAGUUAUUCCUGGCAAGAAGGCUGAGUCACUCGGCCAAAUCGCCCUCGAUGUGGUUUUCGGUGAUUCCAAGAAUUACCGCAAAGAAAAGUUGACGUUUGAAGUCGUGGAUUUCCAGAGUGCUUAUCAUGCUAUUCUGGGCAGGCCGGCUUAUGCACGUUUUAUGGUUCGACCAUGUUACAUGUACCUCAAAUUGAAGAUGCCUGGUCCUAAAGGAGUGAUCACUAUCACUGGCAAUCGGAAGAAGGCAGAAGAGUGCUUCCAGAAGGGCUCAAAGAUCGCCGAUGCGUAAAUGGCAGUAGUGGAAUUGCAAGAGUAUAAAAAAAAUGCAGAUCCGAGUGAUUUGUUGCGAGCUAAGAAGCCUGCCACGGAUUCAGCAUUUCAGUCGUCUGGUGAAACGAAGCCGAUUCAUAUUCACCCGACCGAUCCCAAUGCUGCUCCAACUCACAUUUCGACAACACUCGACUCCAAAUAGGAAGAAGCGCUCAUCCAGUUCCUCCGUGAGAACUGGGACAUCUUUGCAUGGAAACCUUCUGACAUGCCGGGUGUUCCCAGGGGGCUGGCUGAGCACCGUUUGCAAGUCGACCCAAAAGUGAAACUAGUCAAAGAACAUCUUCGACGGUUCGCCGUACAGAAGAGAAAAGCAAUCGAUGAAGAAGUGGCUCGGCUCCUAGCAGCUGAGUUUAUCCGAGAGAUUUACCACUCCGAGUGGCUAGCCAAUGUUGUCAUGGUCCCCAAGAAGGACGACUCACUUCGCAUGUGCAUAGACUUCAAGCAUAUCAAUCGGGCCUGCCCGAAAGAUCACUUUCCUCUCCCCCGCAUCGACCAAAUAGUCGACUCGACUGUGGGGUGUGAGCGCUUGUCCUUUUUGGACGCUUAUUCCGGGUAUCAUCAGAUCCAACUGUAUGGACCCGAUGAGAUAAAAACAGCUUUCAUCACCCCAUUUGGGUGCUUCUGUUAUGUCACCAUGCCAUUCGGCUUGAAGAACGCUGGAGCCACAUUCAUGAGGAUGAUUCAGAAGUGUUUACUCACUCAAAUCAGUCGGAAUGUGGAAGCAUACAUGGAUGACAUUGUGGUCAAGUCACGUAAAGGUUCCGACCUGCUGGCUGACCUUGCUGAAACUUUUGCCAACCUCAGAAGGUAUGAUAUCAAGCUUAAUCCAUCAAAGUGCACAUUCGGAGUUUCGGGCGGAAAAUUACUCGGUUUUCUCGUUUCCGAACGAGGGAUCGACGCUAACCCAGAGAAAGUGGGUGCCAUACUCCGGAUGAAACGCCCUGUGCGUGUGCACGAUGUCCAGAAGCUUAUUGGUUGUUUGACCGCCUUAAGUCGAUUCAUUUCUCGCCUCGGUGAAAAGGCAUUGCCUCUUUAUCGACUGAUGAAAAAGUCUGAUAAGUUUGAGUGGACUCCUGAAGCUGAUGCAGCGUUUGUAGAGCUCAAAGCCCUGCUUUCCACCCAGCGGGUGCUUGCUGCCCCAAUCAGCAAAGAGCCUUUACUGCUUUACAUUGCAGCCACUGGGCAAGUUGUCAGUACAGUACUUACGGUCGAGCGGGAAGAAGAAGGAAAAGCCUAUAAGGUUCAGCGCCCAGUAUACUAUGUUUCUGAAGUUCUGACUCCAUCAAAGCAAAGAUAUCCACAUUAUCAGAAGCUUUUUUUAUGGGAUUUAUAUGACCACGAAGAAGGUUGCACACUAUUUCUCUGACCACUCUAUUACAGUCGUCAGCGACGCUCCAUUAUCAGAGAUUCUGAACAACAGAGAUGCAACUAGUCGAGUGGCAAAGUGGGCGAUUGAGCUCCUUCCCUUGGAUAUCAAGUUUGAGGCAAAGAAGGCUAUCAAGUCCCAGGCAAUAGUAGAUUUCCUCACCGAGUGGAUCAAACAGCAACUGCCAACUCAAGUUCACUCGAAGCACUGGACCAUGUUCUUUUAUGGCUCCAAGAUGCUGAAUGGUUCCGGUGCUGGGGUGGUACUGGUAUCCCCCCGAGGAGACAAGCUCAGAUAUGUUCUCCAGAUUCACUUUGAUUCCUCCAAUAACGAAGCGGAAUAUGAAGCACUCUUAUAUGGGUUACCUAUGGCCAUUUCACUUGGGAUCCGUCGCCUGUCUACAGCGACUCAGAUUUGGUAGUCAAUCAAGUGAUGAAGGAGUGGGACGUCAGAAGCCCAGCUAUGACUAGUUACUGUAAUGCGGUGAGGAAGUUGGAGAAGAAGUUUGAGGGUUUAGAGCUCCAUCAUAUACCCCGACUGAAAAAUCAAGUAGCCAAUGAUUUGGCAAAGAUAGGUUCCAAGAGGGAAGCCAUUCCCAGCAACGUAUUUUUGGAACACAUUCAUACACCUUCAGUUCGAGAAGAUCCUUUCAUUGAAGAGCCCCCGCGGCCUAAGAGUGCCAUAGAUCCGACUGAAGUUGAAGUCCCAGCCGUGGUCGACCUGAUCAUGGAGGUUUUGGUCAUCACUCCCGACUGGACAGUGCCAUACAUUGCGUAUAUCCUUAGGAAGGAACUCCUAGAGGAUGAAGAAGAGGCUCGACAGAUCGUCCGUCGAUCCAAAGCCUUUACUGUGAUAAGAGGACAGCUGUUCAGGGAAAGCGUAACCGGAGUCAGCCAGAAAUGCAUAACACCAGAAGAAGGUCGAGUGAUCCUCAACGACAUCCACUCGGGGACCUGUGGCCACCAUGCGUCCUCUCGGACCAUUGUGGCCAAAGCAUACCGAGCUGGAUUUUAUUGGCCACGAGCAAAUGAAAUGGCGAAAGAUAUAGUCGACAAAUGUGAAGGCUGCCAGUUUUACUCCAAUACGUCCCACAAGCCUGCGUCAGCCCUAAAGACCAUUCCACUUGUCUGGCCCUUUGCUGUUUGGGGAUUGGAUAUGGUUGGACCCCUGAGGACUGGUAGGAGCGGCUUCACUCAUGUGCUUGUAGCAGUCGACAAGUUUACCAAAUGGAUUGAAGCCAAGCCUAUCAAGAAUCUUGAAGCCAGUACUGCCGUCAGCUUCAUCAGAGAAUUGACAUUCAGAUAUGGAGUUCCGCACAUCAUCAUCACUGACAACGGGUCGAACUUCGAUUCUCAUGAGUUUGGAGCCUUCUGUGCUUCCCAAGGCACACGAGUCGACUAUGCUUCAGUCGCCCACCCCCAGUCGAAUGGACAAGCGGAAAGAGCAAAUGGUUUGAUUCUCAAAGGACUGAAACCCCGAUUGAUGCGUGAUCUCAAGCACGCAGUAGGCGCCUAGGCCGAUGAACUUCCAUCAGUUCUUUGGGGAUUGAGAACAACUCCCAAUCGGUCGACUGGCCGAACUCCAUUCUUCUUGGUCUAUGGAGCUGAAGCUGUUCUACCGAGUGACUUGCUUCACAAUGCCCCCUGAGUCGAGCUUUUCUCUGAAGAUGAAGCAGAACAGGCCCGGCAGGACACAGUUGAUCUCCUAGAAGAGGAAAGAGAGAUGGCCGUAAUCCGGUCGACUAUUUAUCAACAAGACUUGUGCCGAUUCCACGCCAGAAACGUGAGAGGUCAAGCCUUUCAAGAGGGAGACUUGGUUCUUCAAGUGGAUCAGCAGAAACCACACAAGCUCGCCCCUGCUUGGGAAGGUCCCUUCAUCGUCACCAGAGUUCUCCACAAUGGGGCAUACCAUCUUUACAAUGUCGAGCAUCAGAAAGACAAGCCACGGGCUUGGAAUGCGGAGCUGCUCCGCCCCUUUUAUACUUAAGUACUCAUUCUGAUGAGAUGUAAUAAGAAAUACAUUUGUAGUUUUUUUUAUCAAAGACAAGAGCUUUACAGUCUUCUUAAACGAUUGUUGUUGCUUAUGUUUGCGUCUCAAAUACCCCAGUGGGUGACUUAGCCGCGAAUCCGUUUCGCCUAAGUUUGAAAAAUCGUACCGAGUGAUGAGCAAGCCUCUCACUCGGGGACUUAGCCGCGAAUCCGUUUCGCCUAAGUUUGAAAAAUCCUACCGAGUGAUGAGCAAGCCUCUCACUCGGGGGGCUUAGCUGCGAAUCCGUUUUGCCUAAGUUUGAAAAAUCCUACCGAGUGGUGAGCAAGCCUCUCACUCGGGGGCUUAGCUGCAGUCCAGUACUCGCCUAAGUUUGAAAAAUCCUACCGAGUGAUGAGCAAGCCUCUCACUCGGGGGCUUAGCUGCAGUCCAGUACUCACCUAAGUAUGAAAAAUCCUACCGAGUGGUGAGCAAGCCUCUCACUCGGGGGCUUAGCUGCAGUCCAGUACUCGCCUAAGUUUGAAAAAUCCUACCGAGUGGUGAGCAAGCCUCUCACUCGGAGGAUUAGCUGCAGUCCAAUACUCGCCUAAGUUUGAAAAAUCCUACCGAGUGAUGAGCAAGCCCCUCACUCGGGGGCUUAGCUGCANNNNNNNNNNNNNNNNNNNNNNNNNNNNNNNNNNNNNNNNNNNNNNNNNNNNNNNNNNNNNNNNNNNNNNNNNNNNNNNNNNNNNNNNCCUAAGUUUGAAAAAUCCUACCGAGUGGUGAGCAACCCUCUCACUCGGGGGCUUAGCUGCAGUCCAGUACUCGCCUAAGUUUGUAAAAUCCUACCGAGUGGUGAGCAACCCUCCCACUCGGGGGCUUAGCUGCAGUCCAGUACUCGCCUAAGUUUGUAAAACCCUACCGAGUGGUGAGCAACCCUCCCACUCGGGGGCUUAGCUGCAGUCCAGUACUCGCCUAAGUUUGAAAAAUCCUACCGAGUGGUGAGCAACCCUCCCACUCGGGUGCUUAGCUGCAGUCCAGUACUCGCCUAAGUUUGCGCUCCAUCCCUAUCUGCAAGGACGACGAGGUGCAGGUCGACUACAACCAUCUCCUUUGGAGCUAGGCCACAAGUACAACGUGCACUCCGUCCCUAUCCGCAAGGACGACGAGGUACAGGUCGACUGCAACCUUUUCCUUUGGAGCUGCGCCACAAGUACAACAUGCGCUCCAUCCCUAUCUGCAAGGACGAUGACGUGCAGGUCGACUGUAACCUUCUCCUUCGGGGCUGCGCCACAAGUACAACGUGCACUCCAUUCCUAUCCGUAAGAGCGAUGAGGUAAAAGUCAAUUGCCUCCUCCUCAAAGAUGCAUUUCAAGCACAAAGAUUAUUCCAAAUGAAGAACAAGAUUCACUCGACGGCAAACACGAGCAUAUUCAGAGAUAAAUCAAGUUCGGAUAAAUCCUAAAGUUCCGGCCCACGGAUCGAAGUACUCGGGCUUCAAACCCGAAGGAGUUUAACGAUUACAAAAUCACUCCGCAUUCCGAGGCAAAUUUAAAGUGAGGCAUAAAGUUUGUUCAUUCCGCAGGAGGUGGGCUAGCAGGAUCAACGAACUCGUCCAGGUCAAUUUCGUCAGCAAUCCGAGUGGCAGCAGUGAUGAAGGUCUCCAUGAAGGACUGGAAGUCAUGCUUUUUGGUGUUGGCGACCUUAAUUGCUGCAAGCUUGUCUUCUCACGCCUCCUUGCAGUGGACGCGUACCAGAGACAGAGCCACAUCGGUGCCGCACCGUGUAGAAGACUUCUUCCAAUCUUGCACACAACUCGGGAUUUCAUUAAGUCGAGUCAUCAAAGACUCGAGGUCAUUUGGAAGAGUCGCCCUUGGCCAGAGUGCUGUGUCGAUCCUUGACACCGCAACCUUCAAGCGAGCAAGAUAGUCGACGACACCAGUGAUGCGGGAUUCCAGUCGGAGCACGUUCAUGGCAGCUUCAUCCUUCACUGGAGAGUUGAUGGGGUCCAAGCUUGUCUCAACACACCCAGUCUCUUCUUCAAAGUUCUGACAAAAUUCUGCAUGCACAAUUCAAAGACAAGUCAAUGAUUGUACAUCGAGUCGACAGCAACAAGUCAAUCGAAAGAAAGAAAAUACCUUCAAGCAUGACGAACAGCUUCUUGGAAAGAUCUCCCAGAUAAUUUUCCAAGUCAUUCCUCUUGCGGGCGGUUUCUUCAAACUUAUCGUUCAAGGAUAUCUUGUCCUUCUUCAGACGAGUCACCUCCCUGUUGGCUUCAUUCAAAGAAGUCUUCAGCUUGGUAUUCUCUUCCUCCAGUUUGCCGACUGAAGCCAGCUUCUGGUCGGCGAGUGCAGUUUUCUCGUCAGCAGUUUUCUGCGCAGCUGCAAGGUCCAGAUCCUUCUUUGCCAGAGCUUGGUUCAUUUUCUCUAAAAGAAACAACGAUAAGCUCAGAGGAAAAAACAAAUGCCACCUGGAUCAGAAACAAAACAGUCGAACGAAUUCCUCUUACCAGCAGCUUCAUCCUGGGCCUUCUGGAAGUCCUUCUUGGCCAGCUCCAGAUCGAGAUUCAGCUGAAUCUGCUUCUGCUCUAGGUCAGCGAAACGAGCUCCAAGGUCACAAGAUUUCUACAAUCAAAGGGCAGUCAGUCAGUGGGUGAAAGGAUCGAAAUUCAACAAACUCUAAGACUACUGCUGAAUCAAAUAUCCAACAGUAGUCUCGGGGACUACACCCAGUGGGUGCACUCAGCGUGCUGUUGGGGAACGUAGUAAUUUCAAAAAAAUUCCUACGCACACGCAAGAUCAUGGUGAUGCAUAGCAACGAGAGGGGAGAGUGUGUCCACGUACCCUCGUAGACCGAAAGCGGAAGCGUUAUCACAACGCGGUUGAUGUAGUCGUACGUCUUCACGAUCCGACCGAUCAAGUACCGAACGCACGACACCUCCGAGUUCAGCACACGUUCAGCUCGAUGACGUCCCUCGAACUCCGAUCCAGCUGAGUGUUGAGGGAGAGUUUCGUCAACACGACGUCGUGGUGAUGAUGAUGAUGUUCUACCGAUGCAGGGCUUCGCCUAAGCUCUGCAACGAUAUUAUCGAGGUGUAAUAUGGUGGAAGGGGGCACCGCACACGGCUAAAAGAUCGUAGAUCAAUUGUGUGUCCAGAGGUGCCCCCCUACCCCCGUAUAUAAAAGGAGCAAGGGGGAGGCCGGCUGGCCCUUGGGGCGCGCCAAGGAGGGAGGGGAGUCCUCCUCCUAGUAGGAGUAGGACUCCCCUUUCCUAGUCCAACUAGGAAGAGAGAAGGGGGAAGGAAAGAGAGGGAGAGGGAGAGGGAAAGAGGGGCUGCGCCCCCCUCCCCUAGUCCAAUUCGGACUCCUCAUGGGAGGGGGCGCGCCACCUCCUGGGCUGCUGCCCUCUCUCUCCCCUCAGGCCCACUAAGGCCCAAUACUUCCCCGGGGGGUUCCGGUAACCCCUCCGGCACUCCGUUUUAUCCGAAACUUCUCCGAAACACUUCCGGUGCCCGAAUAUAGUCGUCCAAUAUAUCAAUCUUUAUGUCUCGAUCAUUUCGAGACUCCUCGUCACGUCCGUGAUCACAUCCGGGACUCCGAACAACCUUCGGUACAUCAAAACAUAUAAACUCAUAAUAUAACUGUCAUCGUAACGUUAAGCGUGCGGACCCUACGGGUUCGAGAACUAUGUAGACAUGACCGAGACACCUCUCCGGUCAAUAACCAAUAGAGGAACCUGGAUGCUCAUAUUGGUUCCUACAUAUUCUACGAAGAUCUUUAUCGGUCAGACCGCAUAACAACAUACGUUGUUCCCUUUGUCAUCGGUAUGUUACUUUCCCGAGAUUCGAUCGUCGGUAUCUCGAUACCUAGUUCAAUCUCGUUACCGGCAAGUCUCUUUACUCGUUCCGUAAUACAUCAUCCCGCAACUAACUCAUUAGUCACAAUGCUUGCAAGGCUUAUAGUGAUGUGCAUUACCGAGUGGGCCCAGAGAUACCUCUCCGACAAUCGGAGUGACAAAUCCUAAUCUCGAAAUACGCCAACCCAACAAGUACCUUUGGAGACACCUGUAGAGCACCUUUAUAAUCACCCAGUUACGUUGUGACGUUUGGUAGCACACAAAGUGUUCCUCCGGUAAACGGGAGUUGCAUAAUCUCAUAGUCAUAGGAACAUGUAUAAGUCAUGAAGAAAGCAAUAGCAACAUACUAAACGAUCGAGUGCUAAGCUAACGGAAUGGGUCAAGUCAAUCACGUCAUUCUCCUAAUGAGGUGAUCCCGUUAAUCAAAUGACAACUCAUGUCUAUGGCUAGGAAACAUAACCAUCUUUGAUUAACGAGCUAGUCAAGUAGAGGCAUACUAGUGACACACUGUUUGUCUAUGUAUUCACACAUGUAUUAUGUUUCCGGUUAAUACAAUUCUAGCAUGAAUAAUAAACAUUUAUCAUGAUAUAAGGAAAUAAAUAAUACUUUAUUAUUGCCUCUAGGGCAUAUUUCCUUCAGUCUCCCACUUGCACUAGAGUCAAUAAUCUGGAUUACACAGUAAUGAUUCUUACACCCAUGGAGUCUUGGUGUUGAUCAUGUUUUGCUCGUGGAAGAGGCUUAGUCAACGGGUCUGCAACAUUCAGAUCCGUAUGUAUCUUGCAAAUUUCUAUGUCUCCCACCUGGACUAAAUCCCGGAUGGAAUUGAAGCGUCUUUUGAUGUGCUUGGUUCUCUUGUGAAAUCUGGAUUCCUUUGCUAAGGCAAUUGCACCAGUAUUGUCACAAAAGAUUUUCAUUGGUCCCGAUGCACUAGGUAUGACACCUAGAUCGGAUAUGAACUCCUUCAUCCAGACUCCUUCAUUUGCUGCUUCCGAAGCAGCUAUGUACUCCGCAUCACACGUAGAUCCCGCCACGACACUUUGCUUAGAGCUGCACCAACUGACAGCUCCAUCGUUCAAUGUAAAUACGUAUCCGGUUUGCGAUUUAGAAUCAUCCGGAUCAGUGUCAAAGCUUGCAUCAACGUAACCACUUACGAGGAGCUCUUUGUCACCUCCAUAAACGAGAAACAUAUCCUUAGUCCUUUUCAGGUAUUUUAGGAUGUUCUUGACCGCUGUCCAGUGAUCCACUCCUGGAUUACUUUGGUACCUCCCUGCUAAACUUAUAGCAAGGCACACAUCAGGUCUGGUACACAGCAUUGCAUACAUGAUAGAGCCUAUGGCUGAAGCAUAGGGAACAUCUUUCAUCUUCUCUCUAUCUUUUGCAGUGGUCGGGCAUUGAGUCUUACUCAAUCUCACACCUUGUAGUACAGGCAAGAACCCUUUCUUUGCUUGAUCCAUUUUGAACUUCUUCAAAACUUUGUCAAGGUAUGUGCUUUGUGAAAGUCCAAUUAAGCAUCUUGAUCUAUCUCUAUAGAUCUUAAUGCCUAAUAUAUAUGCAGCUUCACCGAGGUCUUUCAUUGAAAAACUCUUAUUCAAGUAUCCCUUUAUGCUAUCCAGAAAUUCUAUAUCAUUUCCAAUCAGCAAUAUGUCAUCCACAUAUAAUAUCAGAAAUGCUACUGAGCUCCCACUCACUUUCUUGUAAAUACAGGCUUCUCCAAAAGUCUGUAUAAAACCAAAUGCUUUGAUCACACUAUCAAAGCGUUUAUUCCAACUCCGAGAGGCUUGCACCAGUCCAUAAAUGGAUCGCUGGAGCUUGCACACUUUGUUAGCUCCCUUUGGAUCGACAAAACCUUCCGGUUGCAUCAUAUACAACUCUUCUUCCAGAAAUCCAUUCAGGAAUGCAGUUUUGACAUCCAUUUGCCAAAUUUCAUAAUCAUAAAAUGCGGCAAUUGCUAACAUGAUUCGGACAGACUUAAGCAUCGCUACGAGUGAGAAGGUCUCAUCGUAGUCAAUCCCUUGAACUUGUCGAAAACCUUUCGCAACAAGUCGAGCUUUAUAGACAGUAACAUUACCAUCAGCGUCAGUCUUCUUCUUGAAGAUCCAUUUAUUUUCAAUAGCUUGCCGACCAUCGGGCAAGUCAACCAAAGUCCAUACUUUGUUCUCAUACAUGGAUCCCAUCUCGGAUUUCAUGGCUUCAAGCCAUUUUGCGGAAUCUGGGCUCACCAUCGCUUCUUCAUAGUUCGUAGGUUCAUCAUGGUCUAGUAACAUAACCUCCAAAACAGGAUUACCGUACCACUCUGGUGCGGAUCUUGAUCUAGUUGACCUACGAGGUUCAGUAAUAACUUGAUCUGAAGUUUCAUGAUCAUUAUCAUUAACUUCCUCACUAAUUGGUGUAGAUGUUGCAGAAACUGAUUUCUGUGAUGAUCUACUUUCCAAUAAAGGAGCAGGUACAGUUACCUCAUCAAGUUCUACUUUCCUCCCACUCACUUCUUUCGAGAGAAACUCCUUCUCUAGAAAGGAUCCAUUCUUAGCAUAGAAUAUCUUGCCUUCGCAUCUGUGAUAGAAGGUGUACCCAACAGUCUCCUUUGGGUAUCCUAUGAAGACACAUUUCUCCGAUUUAGGUUCGUGCUUACCAGGUUGAAGUUUCUUCACAUAAGCAUCGCAACCCCAAACUUUAAGAUACGACAACUUUGGUUUCUUGCCAAACCAUAGUUCAUAAGGCAUCGUCUCAACGGAUUUCGAUGGUGUCCUAUUUAGAGUGAAUGCAGCCGUCUCUAAAGCAUAACCCCAAAACGAUAGCGGUAAAUCAGUAAGAGACAUCAUAGAUCGCACCAUAUCUAAUAAAGUACGAUUACGACGUUCGGACACACCAUUACGCUGUGGUGUUCCGGGUGGCGUGAGUUGCGAAACUAUUCCGCAUUGUUUCAAAUGUAGGCCAAACUCGUAACUCAAAUAUUCUCCUCCAUGAUCUGAUCGUAGAAACUUUAUUUUCUUGUUAUGAUGAUUUUCGACUUCACUCUGAAAUUCUUUGAACUUUUCAAAUGUUUCAGACUUAUGUUUCAUUAAGUAGAUAUACCCAUAUCUGCUCAAAUCAUCUGUGAAGGUGAGAAAAUAACGAUAUCCUCCACGAGCCUCAAUAUUCAUCGGACCACAUACAUCUGUAUGUAUGAUUUCCAAUAAAUCUGUUGCUCUCUCCAUAGUUCCGGAGAACGGUGUUUUAGUCAUCUUGCCCAUGAGGCACGGUUCGCAAGUACCAAGUGAUUCAUAAUCAAGUGAUUCCAAAAGUCCAUCAGCAUGGAGUUUCUUCAUGCGCUUUACACCGAUAUGACCUAAACGGCAGUGCCACAGAUAAGUUGCACUGUCAUUAUCAACUCUGCAUCUUUUGGCUUCAACAUUAUGAAUAUGUGUGUCACUACUAUCGAGAUUCAUUACAAAUAGACCACUCUUCAAGGGUGCAUGACCAUAAAAGAUAUUAUUCAUAUAAAUAGAACAACCAUUAUUCUCUGAUUUAAAUGAAUAACCGUCUCGCAUCAAACAAGAUCCAGAUAUAAUGUUCAGGCUCAACGCUGGCACCAAAUAACAAUUAUUUAGGUCUAAUACUAAUCCCGAAGGUAGAUGUAGAGGUAGCGUGCCGACGGCGAUCACAUCGACUUUGGAACCAUUUCCCACGCGCAUCGUCACCUCGUCCUUAGCCAAUCUUCGCUUAAUCCGUAGCCCCUGUUUCGAGUUGCAAAUAUUAGCGACAGAACCAGUAUCAAAUACCCAGGUGCUACUGCGGGUAUUAGUAAGGUACACAUCAAUAACAUGUAUAUCACAUAUACCUUUGUUAACCUUGCCAUCCUUCUUAUCCGCCAAAUACUUGGGGCAGUUCCACUUCCAGUGACCAGUCUGCUUGCAGUAGAAGCACUCAGUUUCAGGCUUAGGUCCAGACUUGGAUUUCUUCUCCUGAACAGCAACUUGCUUGCUGUUCUUCUUGAAGUUCCCCUUCUUCUUCCCUUUGCCCUUUUUCUUGAAACUAGUGGUUUUACUGACCAUCAACACUUGAUGCUCCUUUUUGAUUUCUACCUCCGCUGCCUUUAGCAUUGCGAAGAGCUCAGGAAUUGUAUUAUCCAUCCCUUGCAUGUUAUAGUUCAUCACGAAGCUCUUGUAGCUUGGUGGCAGUGAUUGAAGAAUUCUGUCAAUGACGCUAUCAUCCGGAAGAUUAACUCCCAGUUGAAUCAAGUGAUUAUUAUACCCGGACAUUUUGAGUAUAUGCUCACUGACAGAACUAUUCUCUUCCAUCUUGCAGCUGUAGAACUUAUUGGAGACUUCAUAUCUCUCAAUCCGGGCAUUCGCUUGAAAUAUUAACUUCAACUCCUGGAACAUCUCAUAUGCUCCAUGACGUUCAAAACGUCGUUGAAGACCCGGUUCUAAGCCGUAAAGCAUGGCACAGUGAACUAUCGAGUAGUCAUCUGCUUUGCUCUGCCAGAUGUUCAUAACUUCUGGUGUUGCUCUUGCAGGAGGCCUGGCACCUAGCGGUGCUUCCAGGACGUAAUUCUUCUGUGCAGCAAUGUGGAUAAUCCUCAAGUUACGGACCCAGUCCGUGUAAUUGCUACCAUCAUCUUUCAACUUAGCUUUCUCAAGGAACGCAUUAAAAUUCAAUGGAACAACAGCACGGGCCAUUUAUCUACAAUUAACAUAGACAAGCAAGAUACUAUCAGGUACUAAGUUCAUGAUCAAUUCAAGUUCAAUUAAUCAUAUUACUUAAGAACUCCCACUUAGAUAGACAUCCCUCUAAUCAUCUAAGUGAUUACGUGAUCCAAAUCAACUAAACCAUGUCCGAUCAUCACGUGAGAUGGAGUAGUUUCAAUGGUGAACAUCACUAUGUUGAUCAUAUCUACUGUAUGAUUCACGCUCGACCUUUUGGUCUCCGUGUUCCAAGGCCAUAUUUGCAUAUGCUAGGCUCGUCAAGUUUAACCUGAGUAUUCCGCGUGUGCAACUGUUUUGCACCCAUUGUAUUUGAAUGUAGAGCCUAUCACACCCGAUCAUCACGUGGUGUCUCAGCACGAAGAACUUUCGCAACGGUGCAUACUCAGGGAGAACACUUUUAUCUUGAAAUUUUAGUGAGAGAUCAUCUUAUAAUGCUACCAUCAAUCAAAGCAAGAUAAGAUGCAUAAAAGAUUAACAUCACAUGCAAUCAAUAUAAGUGAUAUGAUAUGGCCAUCAUCAUCUUGUGCUUGUGAUCUCCAUCUCCGAGGCAUCGUCAUGAUCACCAUCGUCACCGGCGCGACACCUUGAUCUCCAUCGUAGUAUCGUUGUCGUCUCGCCAACUUAUUGCUUUUACGACUAUCGCUACCGCUUAGUGAUAAAGUAAAACAAUUACAUGGCAAUUGCAUUGCAUACAAUAAAGCGACAACCAUAUGGCUCCUGCCAGUUGCCGAUAACUCGGUUACAAAACAUGAUCAUCUCAUACAAUAAAAUAUAGCAUCAUGUCUUGACCAUAUCACAUCACAACAUGCCCUGCAAAAACAAGUUAGACGUCCUCUACUUUGUUGUUGCAAGUUUUACGUGGCUGCUACGGGCUUAGCAAGAACCAUUCUUACCUACGCAUCAAAACCACAACGAUAGUUUGUCAAGUUGGUGCUGUUUUAACCUUCGCAAGGACCGGGCAUAGCCACACUCGGUUCAACUAAAGUGAGAGAGACAGACACCCGCCAGUCACCUUUAAGCAACGAGUACUCGCAACGGUGAAACCAGUCUCGCGUAAGCGUACGCGUAAUGUCGGUCCGGGCCGCUUCAUCUCACAAUACCGCUGAACCAAAGUAUGACAUGCUGGUAAGCAGUAUGACUUAUAUCGCCCACAACUCACUUGUGUUCUACUCGUGCAUAGCAUCAACGCAUAAAACCAGGCUCGGAUGCCACUGUUGGGGAACGUAGUAAUUUCAAAAAAAUUCCUACGCACACAAAAGAUCAUGGUGAUGCAUAGCAACGAGAAGGGAGAGUGUUGUCCACGUACCCUCGUAGACCGAAAGCGGAAGCGUUAUCACAACGCGGUUGAUGUAGUCGUACGUCUUCAUGAUCCGACCGAUCAAGUACCGAACGCACGGCACCUCCGAGUUCAGCACACAUUCAGCUCAAUGACGUCCCUCGAACUCCGAUCCAGCCGAGUGUUGAGGGAGAGUUUCGUCAGAACGACGGCGUGGUGACGAUGAUGAUGUUCUACCGACGCAGGGCUUCGCUAAGCUCCGCAACGAUAUUAUCGAGGUGUAAUAUGGUGGAAGGGGGCACCGCACACGGCUAAAAGAUCGUAGAUCAAUUGUGUGUCCAGAGGUGCCCCCUGCCCCCGUAUAUAAAGGAGCAAGGGGGGAGGCCGGCUGGCCCUUGGGGCGCGCCAAGGAGGGGGGGAGUCCUCCUCCUAGUAGGAGUAGGACCCCCCUUUCCUAGUCCAACUAGGAAGAGAGAAGGGGGAAGGAAAGAGAGGGAGAGGGAGAGGGAAAGAGGGGCUGCGCCCCCUCCCCUAGUCCAAUUCGGACUCCUCAUGGGAGGGGGUGCGCCACCUCCUGGGCUGCUGCCCUCUCUCUCCCCUCAGGCCCACUAAGGCCCAAUACUUCCCCGGGGGGUUCCGGUAACCCCUCCGGCACUCCGUUUUAUCCGAAACUUCUCCGGAACACUUCCGGUGUCCGAAUAUAGUCGUCCAAUAUAUCAAUCUUUAUGUCUCGAUCAUUUCGAGACUCCUCGUCAUGUCCGUGAUCACAUCCGGGAAUCCGAACAACGGUACAUCAAAACAUAUAAACUCAUAAUAUAACUGUCAUCGUAACGUUAAGCGUGCGGACCCUACGGGUUCGAGAACUAUGUAGACAUGACCGAGACACCUCUCCGGUCAAUAACCAAUAGCGGAACCUGGAUGCUCAUAUUGGUUCCUACAUAUUCUACGAAGAUCUUUAUCGGUCAGACCGCAUAACAACAUACGUUGUUCCCUUUGUCAUCGGUAUGUUACUUGCCCGAGAUUCGAUCGUCGGUAUCUCAAUACCUAGUUCAAUCUCGUUACCGGCAAGUCUCUUUACUUGUUCCGUAAUACAUCAUCCCGCAACUAGCUCAUUAGUUGCAAUGCUUGCAAGGCUUAUAGUGAUGUGCAUUACCGAGUGGGCCCAGAGAUACCUCUCCGACAAUCGGAGUGACAAAUCCUAAUCUCGAAAUACGCCAACCCAACAAGUACCUUUGGAGACACCUGUAGAGCACCUUUAUAAUCACCCAAUUACGUUGUGAUGUUUGGUAGCACACAAAGUGUUCCUCCGGUAAACGGGAGUUGCAUAAUCUCAUAGUCAUAGGAACAUGUAUAAGUCAUGAAGAAAGAAAUAGCAACAUACUAAACGACCGAGUGCUAAGCUAACGGAAUGGGUCAAGUCAAUCACGUCAUUCUCCUAAUGAGGUGAUCCCAUUAAUCAAAUGACAACUCAUGUCUAUGGCUAGGAAACAUAACCAUCUUUGAUUAACGAGCUAGUCAAGUAGAGGCAUACUAGUGACACACUGUUUGUCUAUGUAUUCACACAUGUAUUAUGUUUCCGGUUAAUACAAUUCUAGCAUGAAUAAUAAACAUUUAUCAUGAUAUAAGGAAAUAAAUAAUACUUUAUUAUUGCCUCUAGGGCAUAUUUCCUUCACGUGCCCCCACUGGUUCAGUUUCCACUCGACGUGGUCCGUCCAAGACGAGAAAAAAAAUAAGAGGGAAAGUAUUUCUCAGACCAUAACCGACUACCAGUUCGACUAUGGUCUUGGGGACUACACCCAGUGGGUGCACUAAGCGUGCCCCCACCGGUUCAGUUUCCACUCGACGUGGUCCGUCUAGGAUGAGUGAGAAAAUUUCAACUCUCAGACCAAAACUGACUGCCAGCAGUCGACUACGGUCUUGGGGACUACAUCCAGUGGGUGCACUUAGCGUGCCCGCACUGGUUCGAAGACUCAGUCGACACAAGAUUAGUCGACCCAAGAAGCAAGACUAUUCGCAGCAAAUUCAAACACCCAGUGGGUGUACAAACACAAAAGCAGACGGACGAAAAGACGUUUCAAAAGAAGUUUUCAAGUACCAUAUCCUAACAGAACAAGCGACAAGCUAAGAGAUCAGUCGAUAAUCAACCGACCUGGACAUUGCUUUGGAGAGCUGAGCUGGCAUGGUAGGCAGCUUGGCUGGCAUCUCGAACCACCUUCAGUUGCUCCAUCAUAAUGCCCGCUUGACGUAUGGCCUCCUUGGCGGCGCCCACUUGGUCCUCUGGGACGUGAUGCACAGCGAAGAGCGAAGAAGAAUCGACUGAGGCAUGUGCAGUCGACGCUGAGGGCUGGCCACUCGACAGUGGCAUGGCGAAGGUGACGGAAGUCCGAUUGACGUCACCACCCUCCUGGACCACUGGUUCCACCACCGGCAUCGACUGAGGCGUCUUUCCAGUCGACGUCUUCCUGUUCCUUCUUCCUGAAGGCCUCAGCGGCACGUCCUCGUCGUCAUCUGGAAGGGUAAUAACAUUGGGAAGAGCUGCAAAAGCGUAGUCGUCGGAAAUCAGUCGACUGCAGUUCAGUCAACAAAACAGAGACAAAAUUACAAAGAUCAAACCUGGGGUUGAAGUAACCGCAUGUUCCAUCUCCUCGUCCUCAUUCUUGUAAGCAGAAGUUCCAGAGGUAGCAACAUUGUUGGGUUCAAGAUUCAUUUGAUCAAAUCAAGGAAAUGAUGAAUAGCACAAAAUCUCUAGCAAAGACAGAACACUCACGCAGAAGCAACAGGGAUGUCGAUUUUGAUUCGGGGCAGAGUCUUCCGAGACUUUGGUGCCUCAACUUUGGUUUGCUUCGGGGCCUUCUCAGUCGGUGCUAGAGAAGACGUCCAAGGACGCUUGGAAGUUUGCCCAGUCGACCCAGUCGCUUUGCCACAAAUACUCACCGGAUCAUGUGAGUGCUUGGAUCGCCUUUCGUUGCGAGGAGGCGAGUCGACUUCCUCACCAUCACUUGAGUCGUCGCUCUCCUCGUCCCCUCCUCCGUCAGAAUGCCAUUCACCGCUCUCAUCCGCACUCGCCUCCCCUUCAGGGUCCUGUUCCUGUUCUCCAUUGGGCAUCGAGUAAUCUCAGUGAAGGUCUGGAGAACAACAAGUAAAACAAAUAUCAGUCAGUCGACAAAAAGCAAUUUCAUGGUAAAUCAAGAUAACACUCGGCGAUUCAGAAUUGGACCUUGUCUGUCUCGUACGAAUUGUCGAGCGGAGGGAUUCUCCUGGACCCCCUAGGGUUGUCCUUGUUGUCGGUGAUGCCCUUCAGCCACUUCUCCACCAUAUCCUCGUCAACCUCUUCUGGGUGGAUCCGAGUGGAAUCGUCAAUGCCCGAAUACAUCCACAUCGGAUGGUCACGAGCUUGAAGCGGCUGAAUGCGUCGUCUGAGGAAGACUUCCAACAGAUCCAUGCCAGUCACGCCGUCACGGAUGAGCUGGACCACUCGCUCAACCAGCACCUGCACCUCCGCUUUCUCCCCCGGGGUCACUUUCAAGGCGGAAGGUUUUUCUACUCGGGCCAUGGAAAAGGGUGGAAGCCCAGUUGACUGACCCGGAGUCGGCUGGUCUUUGCAGUAGAACCAGGUCGACUGCCACCCUCGGAUUGACUCGGGAAGGAUUAUGGCUGGGAAAGAACUCUUACCCCUCAUUUGAAUCCCAAGACCUCCACACAUCUGGAUCACUUUCGUCUUCUCGUCACUCGGAUUAGCUUUUUUGACCGACUGAGAGCGACACGUGAAAAUGUGCUUGAAGAGACCCCAGUGCGGUCGACAGCCCAAGAAGUUCUCGCACAUAGACACGAAAGCAGCGAGAUACACGAUGGUGUUGGGGGGGAAAUGGUGAAGUUGUGCUCCAAAGAAGUUCAAGGAAGCUCGGAAAAAAGGAUGAGGAGGCAAAGAAAACCGCGGUCAACAUGAGUGGCGAGGAGGACGCACUCACCCUCCUGCGGACGAGGCUCGGUCUCAUUCCCCGGAAGCCGUGCAGAUCCAUGAGGAAUCAACCCCUCCUCGGCCAGAUCGUCGAUGUCGUCCUGGAGAAUCGUUGACCGGAUCCAAUCGCCCUGGAUCCAGCCGUGCGGCAGGCCAGACCUCGACGAAGAUCCACCCCGGCUGGAUUUCUUCCCCUUCGCCUUCGGCGUUGCCUUUUUUGCGUGCUCCAAAGCCAUCGUCCUCUCCUUCCCCAUUGCGGCGAGCGGAGCUUUGGCGGAGCAGCGGCACCGAGAAGGAAGCAGAUACAGCGAGGAAGAGGAGGAAGGGAAGGAAUGGGAACGCACUGUGCAAAAACCCCCAUCUAGUGCUUUAUAUGGACUCUUUUCCGAGUGGCUGACUUGUGGGUCCAGACUAUCCUGUCAAAUCAUGCAACAGCCGCGCGCGCAGUACGUGGCAAAAAGGGGCGCAGAGAUCGAGGCAACAUUGCCUAAUCCGUCCCGAUUACUGCGGCCUUUCCCGUCCCGCGCGCUUCCCCAAAUUCAAAUCCCGGAAGAUCCGCAAGUAACAGAGCAACCUGACAGGCAGAAGAUUUUCUCCACAUCAACACUCAAGGCUUUUAAGCAAUAGUUCACUCGACAAAAUCAAGAAUGGACCAAGGCGAGUGAAAAAGAAGUUGAAGUCAUCAUGUUGUUCUCUGAACCUAACACGGCGCUUCUGGAGCGCGAAUACUGAGUCGGGAGUAUUUUCAACUCCUCCUCCACUCAAACCCUGAUCCAUUCGGGGGCUAAUGAUGAAGCUAUGUACCUAGGGUAGGGUCAUGGGCCUGUCCAAGAUACCCUCCCCAAGAACAUCACCCUAAAACCAGAAGCAUUCGAAGAAGAAUCAUCAUCCACUCGACCAUGAAGCAUUCCACUCGGAAGAAUUGAAGUCACUCGACCAUGGAGACUGUCACUUGACCGCCAGAAGGUCUAAAUCCACCCCAUACUGCAACGGUCGGUCAUUACAUCAUAGCUUUAAUGGUCAUUAUGUCACUUUAUUACUAGCAUUACCAGUAACGCCCUGUCUUAAUGUACCUUAAACCCUGUGUAAUUGAGGGCCGGAGGGGUCUGGCGAACUCUAUAUAAGCCACCCCCCUCCUCAGUGACAAGGGUUCGCACCCCCUGUAACACACACGCAUAUAAUCCAGUCGACCGCCUCCGGGCACCGAGACGUAGGGCUGUUACUUCCUCCGAGAAGGGCCUGAACUCGUAAAGCUCGUGCGUACAACUUCUUCAUAGCUAAGAUCUUGCCUCUACAUACCUACCCCCAUUCUACUGUCAGACUUAGAACCACGACACCAUAUACAAGAAUCAUGCAAAUUAUGUAAAUUUGUGCAGGUGAUACGCUGGAGGUAGUUUGAUCUCUUAGUAUGUGCACAUGGUACUUACUGGCGGUGGUGUGAUCGCUUCACAGAGCCGAUGACAAUCGAUGAGUGUCAACAUAGGAGAUUGGGGCGCUUGCAACUAUUGGAGGAAGAUGAUGUCCAUACGUCGAUCCCUGGAGGAAGAUGAUGCUGAAGGUGGGCUCUAACAUGUGCCGUGUGCUGAAAUUGGAUGUGAUGCUAGCUCACACGUUUGGUUUUCUCGUGCUGCCACCAUUGCUAAGCUGAUCGCAAAAGCUCAUAAAACAGAACCUUGCCUUCACGCGGUCUCACCUUGCCCCGAUCGCUCAAGAUAGCAAACACCGCCAGCCUGGUACAACAUAUCUAUCUAAAGUUAGACUUUCUUCGCAUGGUGUUGUGGCAUCAAAAAUUCAGAUUAUCUAUAUCUUUCUUAACCCCAUAGUUGUGAUCCUUUAAUUGUAGUUACAUGUGUUUCUGUAGAGGCAUCCUUCCAUUGAUGUAUAAUUGGAAUAGUUAU